CUGUAGGAACACCCUGUGCCCUUUCCUGAAGAUGCUGUUGCUUCUCCCACGGUGCUGCUGCCUCCAGGCCAGGUCCUGAUUCUGUGUUCCCAUCACUGCCCUGGUGGUCGGAUCCUUGGAAGUACCAAGAUUUUCUUCCCAGGAACAAGCUAUCAGCACAAGCACUGCGACUGCAAGGGAUGGCCUUGGUGAUACCAGCCUGCCCCACAAGCCCUGAUUGCCCCGGGAGUGUUGUGAAACCCCACCCAGCCUGUGAUCACUUCAACAAGAUGCUCAGGAAAAACCAGCUAUUGCCUUCCCCGAUUGCCUCCUUCACAUGAGUCUCCAGGCUCAGCAGUGAUGCUGCCUGUCACCGUGGUGGCUUUGGUGACCCAGUGACAAGCAG